rnacentral:rRNA from 1 species
CGCAGCCGCGGUAAUUCCAGCUCCAAUAGCGUAUAUUAAAGUUGUUGCAGUUAAAAAGCUCGUAGUUGAAUUUCGGGGUCAGCAGGUUGGUCGUGCCAAUGGUAUGAACUGGCCUUGCUGAUUCCUCCCUCUUGAUGAGCCGUAAUGUCAUUAAUUUGGUGUUGCGGGGAAUCAGGACUGUUACUUUGAAAAAAUUAGAGUGUUUAAAGCAAGCAAGCGCUUGAAUACAUUAGCAUGGAAUAAUGAAAUAGGACGUUUGAUCCUAUUUUGUUGGUUUCUAGGAUUGACGUAAUGAUUAAUAGGGAUAGUUGGGGGCAUUAGUAUUCAAUUGUCAGAGGUGAAAUUCUUGGAUUUAUUGAAGACUGACUACUGCGAAAGCAUUUGCCAAGGAUGUUUUCAUUAAUCAAGAACGAAAGUUAGGGGAUCGAAGACGAUCAGAUACCGUCGUAGUCUUAACCAUAAACUAUGCCGACUAGGGAUCGGAUGAUGUUAAUUUUUUAAUGACUCA